rnacentral:misc_RNA from 1 species
AAGUCGUAACAAGGUAACCGUAGGUGAACCUGCGGUUGGAUCAUUAACAAUGGUUUUCAAACCUUUAUUCUGUGCACUGUAUUGUUCUUGGUGUUUUCCGCCUCUUUCUUUGGAGAGGAGCGGAGGCACCGACAUUUUUAAACCAUGUAUUGUAUCGAGUCUUGCAUUUGUAUUAAAAUGAAAAACUUUUGACAACGGAUCUCUUGGCUCUC